GAUGAACGCUGGCGGCGUGCCUAAUACAUGCAAGUCGAGCGAACGGACGAGAAGCUUGCUUCUCUGAUGUUAGCGGCGGACGGGUGAGUAACACGUGGAUAACCUACCUAUAAGACUGGGAUAACUUCGGGAAACCGGAGCUAAUACCGGAUGAUAUUUUGAACCGCAUGGUUCAAAAGUGAAAGACGGUCUUGCUGUCACUUAUAGAUGGAUCCGCGCUGCAUUAGCUAGUUGGUAAGGUAACGGCUUACCAAGGCAACGAUGCAUAGCCGACCUGAGAGGGUGAUCGGCCACACUGGAACUGAGACACGGUCCAGACUCCUACGGGAGGCAGCAGUAGGGAAUCUUCCGCAAUGGGCGAAGGCCUGACGGAGCAACGCCGCGUGAGCGAUGAAGGUCUUCGGAUCGUAAAACUCUGUUAUUAGGGAAGAACAUAUGUGUAAGUAACUGUGCACAUCUUGACGGUACCUAAUCAGAAAGCCACGGCUAACUACGUG
rnacentral:rRNA from 1 species